rnacentral:rRNA from 1 species
GACGUAGGGCGCGAGCGUUGUCCGGAUUUAUUGGGCGUAAAGAGCUCGUAGGCGGCUUGUCGCGUCGUUCGUGAAAACUUGGGGCUUAACUCCAAGCGUGCGGGCGAUACGGGCAGACUUGAGUACUACAGGGGAGACUGGAAUUCCUGGUGUAGCGGUGAAAUGCGCAGAUAUCAGGAGGAACACCGGUGGCGAAGGCGGGUCUCUGGGUAGUAACUGACGCUGAGGAACGAAAGCGUGGGGAGCAAACAGG